GAAGAAUGUUGGGCCGCUUGCGAAAUUUAUGCUAACGCUCCUUGUUGAUUGUUUCUGCGCUCUUUCGUUAUGGUUUUAUGGGAAAGGCAGGCGAAAACGGAGCACCUGGUGAUAACUCAACUCAGUGCAAAUCAUUUCAAUACCUUGGAGAACGUGGCAGUAUGGGAGUAGCUAUCAAACAGCCGCCUCAACCGACACCGCAAUGAAGCCAGCGCCCGCCCGGGACCGGUUUCCGCGUCGGGGCCGGGUGAAACUGUCAUCCACUGGUGCAUCGUGACGUAUAUAUGUAACAUACUACAUAGUUAGAUGUCACUAUAAUAUUGCUACAUAGCCUUAACUAUAAAAUGCUUGACAAUAAUUGAUUCGUCAUAAAACACAUUACAAAGCUAUACAUUCAUAUUUUCAAAUAAAUAGAUUCGUAAAUAAACCCAGACGGCUUGAAUGAUAAAUAAUCUACAAAUGUACAGUGUGUAUCGACGACUCCACAUAAAUUCACGUUAUGGGGUCGCAUUUGUCACCGGUAAUGUGGUGCGCGCAAUAUUCAUGGCCGUUUCCGUAUAGCCAAGAAUUGCUCCCACGGAAUAUUCCAGUUUGAACGCUUAUUUUAAAAGGGAUUUGUUUUUAAACUUCAAUUGUUGUUUUUUUUUAUUUAUGCCACAACUCACACUGACUUCGAAAAUAAGAGUUUAUUCCAGGGAUAUUUUCAGAGAUUUCAAUGAAUAAGUUAUUUUAGUAAGUACGUGCCUUCAAGAGACUUCGAGAGUCCGACGAGUAAGUGUAAGAUUUCAGGUGACGUCAGGGUAAGAUUUGUUAAUUACACAUCAAUUCUAGUGAGUACUUCUAGCUCCGAAUGAAAUCCAUCCUGAGGUCUCCUAUAAAGUCGAUUAAUUAAGUUAUGUGCAUACUUUAAUCGAUUUUAAAAAUUGGAGGUUAUGUGUUAAAAACCAAGCAUUCAUAAAUAAUAUAAA